rnacentral:rRNA from 1 species
UACGAAGGGGGCUAGCGUUGUUCGGAAUUACUGGGCGUAAAGCGCACGUAGGCGGAUACUUAAGUCAGGGGUGAAAUCCUGGAGCUCAACUCCAGAACUGCCUUCGAUACUGGAAAGCUCGAGUCCGGGAGAGGUGAGUGGAACUGCGAGUGUAGAGGUGAAAUUCGUAGAUAUUCGCAAGAACACCAGUGGCGAAGGCGGCUCACUGGCCCGGGUACUGACGCUGAGGUGCGAAAAGCGUGGGGGAGCAAACAGGG